AUGUUGAUGUUGAGAAGAGCUGCUGUUGAGUCUCAUAUCAGUGUGUCUGGUCCUGCAGUGAAGCCCUCCGUGUCUCUGCUGCCGCCCUCUUCUCUGCAGAUCUCUGGAGACUCAGCCGCACUGCUCUGCCUGCUCAGCUCUUACUCUCCACAGGGGGCGACGGUGAGCUGGACGCUGGACGGGUCAGAGGUCACCGAGGGGGUUCAGACCAGCGCAGAGAGCGAGCGGGACGGACGCUACAGCCGCAGCAGCGUCCUGAGCCUCAGCAAAGCACGCUGGGAAGGCGCGGAUCGCUUCGUCUGCAGAGUAAGACAUGACGGAGCUGAUCACGAGGCCUCGUUCCUCAAGAGCUCCCAGUGCUGAUGUUUCUCCGGUCCAGACGAGCCGUAUCUGAGCGUCCGGCAGGAUUCACAGCAGUCACGUGAUUUACAGCUCAAUACUGAAGCAGUCUUUCAAUGUGCUGCCAUUGCUGUUCAUUCAAUAAAGCUUCUGAACGCGUUA